ACAUCAAGGUGUAUGAUGCACAUUAGUUUUUGAUAUUAAAGGGAUUAGUUUAAAUCUAUUUUAUGU
rnacentral:tRNA from 1 species